rnacentral:lncRNA from 1 species
UCCCCGGAUUCCACAAUCUUGACUUAAUCUUUCUAUAGAGGAUGAUUCCCAUAAAGAUUACUCUGUUCUUCUUUUAAUAUCUAGUUGCCAAAUGGGUUUGACCAGCAUCUUUAAUUAAGUAUGGAAUGUAAAUACAUUUGAAUGUUACUUCACCAAACGCAUUAAGGACCAGGAAGGCUGGAUGUUGUCAGCGCUCCCCGGAGACCAGCCAUGGGGCAGUUCCCACCCUCACCAACCACCCACGGACAGGACAGCAAGUAUGACAUCUAAGGCCAGGACCAAGGCAGAUACAGAUGAGGACAUGGGAAAGUGUCACCACAGUCACCAUGGUGCCUGAGAGCCAAUGGAGCCUUGUCAGAG